CCUACGGGUGGCAGCAGUGGGGGAUAUUGCACAAUGGGGGGAACCCUGAUGCAGCGACGCCGCGUGUGUGAAGGAGCGUUUCGGCGCGUAAAGCCCUAUCGGCGGGGAAGAAGGUGACGGUACCUGAACCAGAAGCCCCGGCUAACUACGUGCCAGUAGCCGCGGUAAUACGGAGGGGGCAAGCGUUCGCCGGAUUUACUGGGUGUAACGGGGGCGCAGACGGCAUUGCAAGCCAGGCGUGAAAGCCCCGGGCGCAACCCCGGGACUGCUCUUGGAACUGCAUGGCUGGAGUACAGGAGAGGCAGGCGGAAUUCCUGGGGUAGCGGUGAAAUGCGUAGAUAUUAGGAGGAACACCGGUGGCGAAGGCGGCCUGCUGGACUGUGACUGACGUUGAGGCCCGAAGGCGUGGGGAGCAAACAGGAUUAGAUACCCCUGUAGUC
rnacentral:rRNA from 1 species